GCUUUUAUGAGCUGUAACACUCACCGCGAAGGUCCGCAGCUUCACUCCUGAAGCCAGCGAGACCACGAGCCUACUGGGAGGAACGAACAACUCCCGACGCGCCGCCUUAAGAGCUGUAACACUCACCGCGAAGGUCUGCAGCUUCACUCCUGAGCCAGCGAGACCACGAACCCACCAGAAGGAAAAAACUCCGAACACAUCUGAACAUCAGAAGCAACAAACUCCGGACACGCCGCCUUUAAGAACUGUAACACUCACUGCGAGGGUCCGCGGCUUCAUUCUUGAAGUGAGUGAGACCAAGAACCCACCAGUUCUGGACACAAUUUCAAGUCCUCAGGUGCCAUCAAUAUUCUGAAAAUGGCAGUGAUUUUUAUUCAACCUGUAUAAGGCACUUUCACCAUGUACCUGGAAGCAACAUCUACAUCUUUUUCAGUUUUCCUCUGUCCACUAUGAAGGACUUUGUGACCACAUUCUGACUCUGAUGAGAUCCUGCCCAGAAUUGACCUGAACCCCAAUAAUUCACCUUUCUCUCAGCAAUCUAGAUGCUGGGGACACAAGGUCCACCUUCCAGGAAUAUGGCCAUGACACCAGAAAUCACAAACAUGAUGAGAAUGGAAUGACUGGGGAAGAAGUGCCAGAUGCUUCACUUGUAAAUGAAGACCCAGCCUCUGGGGAUGCAGAUACCACCUCCCUGAAGAAGCUGAAUAUCUGCAGAUAAGUGGAGUUCACCAAUGAUGAGGAGCGGGAUGGAGAAAGGAGGUAGGGAGAGUCAUCCAAGGAACAUGAGCAACAUGUUAAAAGCCAAGUGGUUUAAUUUCUGGAGAUGGUGAACCCAAGAGGCUCUGCUGGGAGACAACAAAAAUAAUGAAGAAUUGAACCAGAGUCCGGUGAAUAUCAGCACUGGGACCAGUUAGCAGAGGAAAAGGAAAGAAUAAAAGCGAAAAGAAUGAAGAGUCAUAUGAUUACCAACUUUUCCUUUUUCAUAUAAAUUGAGUGUAUAUGGGUCUGGAACAACCUGAAUUUCCAUCAAGUCCUGGCUAACCUCAUUAUGUCCUAUGAAUAUUUUUGACUAAUCCCACUUUACAUUAAUCUGUAUUGUGAAUGUGGAUAUUGAAUUAUAUUUCUUUGUAAUCCCAUUAUCCAAAAUCCAGUUCAGAGACUAUUAGUUACCAAUGUUCACUGUGAAGGAAAAAAAAAAAAAAAAAGCUCAGAGGAUAAACAUGUGAUAUGGUUUGGCUGUGUCCCCACCCAAAUAUCAUCUUGAAUUGUAGCUCCCAUAAUUCCCACGUGUUGUGGGAGGGACCCGGUGGGAGAUAAUUGUAUCAUGGGGGUGGUUCCCCCAUACUAUUCUCAUAGUAGUGAAUAAGUCUCACAAAAUCUGAUGGUUUUAUGAGGGAAAACCCCUUUCACCUGGUUCUCAUUCUCUUCUCUGGUCUGUCGUCAUGUAAGACAUGCCUUUCACCUUCUCCACCAUGACUGUGAGGCCUCCCCAGCCACGUGGAACUGUGAGCCCAUUAAACCUCUUUCACUUAUAAAU
rnacentral:lncRNA from 1 species